rnacentral:lncRNA from 1 species
CCUAUGGCUGCGGUGAUAGUUGACAGAGUGAUAAGGGAGUAUAAGCUAAUUUGAAACAUUGUUUCAACAGAAUGUGAUAUUUUUUGGUGUUUUAGAGAUUUGCAUUAAGAAUAUUGGUAGUAGUAAUAAUUUGUCAUAUGAACUGAAUUGUUCUGAUUUGUCCUUUCUUGAGGUUAUGGUGGAGAUGGUAUCUAGAUGCAUAGGCGGGAUAAUUUGACCAAACAGGGUGUAGACAUCAAAACCCCCUCUAACUGGCUGAAGAAAUGACGUUCCCUAUGGCCCUGUCCUGCACCACUUCUAUCGAGAGACCUUAGCCAGCAUCCGGUGUACAGCAUCCAGUUGAAGUUAUCAAAUGCCUUUUCUUUCAGGAGUGAAAAAGAAGUCCACGUGGAGUGAACAUGGGGAGAGAGAGAUCCGUUCCAAAACUUAUCUCAUAUUGCUGGUACACUGGUUGGCAAAUGGACAAGACAUAAUGAGUUGUGGUGGGAUUCUGGUGAGACAUUGAAAUUGGGACAUUAUCAUGGGCCAUCCACUUCGAACUGUGAAGCUAUCUGAAGAAGAAAAUGAAGAGAAAUGCCAGAAGAUUGAGUGUCGGAGAAGAGAGGGGAGUUUCCAGUUGUUUUGAAAAUACCAUAAAUCCAGAGAAUGCAAGACUUUGAUGACAAAAUUUACCCACGAAGGACCACCGCACCACCUUCCUUUUCAAAUGAGCACAGCACAACAAGCGGAGAUGUGUAUGUGCACCAUGCAGACUGGCACCCAGAUGACCAAACCGAAAGGAAAUAUGCGGCUGGUCAGGUUCUUCUACCUGGAUGAACACAAGUCCUCAAUCCGCUGGAUGCCCUCCAGGAAGCAUGAUAAGGCUUAAAGACAUGAGCCCUAGGACCAUGCCUCAGGACUACCUGGUAUGAUGACUCCUUGCUGUCCCCAGUCCACCUGGCCGUGCUGCUGCUCCAGUUUCAACUGUUCUGCCUGCGGCUAUGGAACCCUGACCUGUUCACCGGACGUGCUUGUUGCACCCUCGAC